rnacentral:rRNA from 1 species
UACAGAGGGGGCAAGCGUUAUUCGGAAUUAUUGGGCGUAAAGGGCGCGUAGGCGGCUUGGCAAGUGGAUGGUGAAAUCCCUCGGCUUAACCGAGGAACUGCCGUCCAAACUGCUUAGCUUGAGACCGGGAGAGGUGAGUGGAAUUCCCAGUGUAGCGGUGAAAUGCGUAGAUAUUGGGAGGAACACCAGUGGCGAAGGCGGCUCACUGGACCGGUACUGACGCUGAGGCGCGAAAGCGUGGGAGCAAACGGG